AUUGAACGCUGGCGGCAUGCCUUACACAUGCAAGUCGAACGGUAACGGGCCUUCGGGUGCCGACGAGUGGCGAACGGGUGAGUAAUACAUCGGAACGUGCCCGAUCGCGGGGGAUAACGAGGCGAAAGCUUUGCUAAUACCGCAUACGAUCUACGGAUGAAAGCAGGGGACCGCAAGGCCUUGCGCGGACGGAGCGGCCGAUGGCAGAUUAGGUAGUUGGUGGGAUAAAAGCUUACCAAGCCGACGAUCUGUAGCUGGUCUGAGAGGAUGAUCAGCCACACUGGGACUGAGACACGGCCCAGACUCCUACAGGAGGCAGCAGUGGGGAAUUUUGGACAAUGGGCGCAAGCCUGAUCCAGCCAUGCCGCGUGCAGGAUGAAGGCCUUCGGGUUGUAAACUGCUUUUGUACGGAACGAAAAGCCUUCUUUUAAUACAGGAGGGUCAUGACGGUACCGUAAGAAUAAGCACCGGCUAACUACGUG
rnacentral:rRNA from 1 species